CAUUUCAAGCACUUGCUUCCACAUUCAUAAUGAAGAUAUUGAAAUUGUCCCAAGUUCAAAUCCAUGUUCGCAGUGUGAUAUAGAAGAGGCAUAUAUGCUUACAAAGGAUGGUGAGAAGCAAGAAUUUAUUUCUGCGAGUGAUUUGCAGUCUGGUUCUGCUCCAGUAUUAGUUAAAGAGCAAGGAAAAGGGAGUGUUUUACUUUCAAAAGGAGUGUGACAGUCCUUGUCAGGGAAGAACCACGCGAGAAUUUUUGCAAAGUGUCUAUAAAGGAUGAAGAGACGCACGUACUUCCUAUUCAGUUACCAUUUUACAAAGCAGCAGACUUCAGGCUGCAGAGUGAGAUUCCUACAUAUUUGGCGCUGAAAUCUUUAUUCCAAGUAACCCCAGUAGUUACAGGAAAUGAAAAUGAAGGUCU